CGGCCGGACAAGUCCGUUGGGAAAUCGACGCGCCUAACGCGUCGGCGUCCAGCGGAAACUGUCCGGCUUGGGGCCGGAAGACUCGAGGGGUACGUCCGGGGUAGGAGUGAAAUCCCGUAAUCCUGGACGGACCGCCGGUGGCGAAAGCGCCUCGAGAGGACGGACCCGACGGUCAGGGACGAAAGCUAGGGUCUCGAACCGGAUUAGAUACCCGGGUAGUCCUAGCUGUAAACGAUGCUCGCUAGGUGUGGCGCAGGCUACGAGCCUGCGCUGUGCCGUAGGGAAGCCGUGAAGCGAGCCGCCUGGGAA
rnacentral:rRNA from 1 species